rnacentral:lncRNA from 1 species
UGCUGAGUGUGUUCUCCUUCCAGGAAGGAUGGGCAGGGUCCUCGGGGUCCUCUGGCUCUUGGGGCUGGGCGGGCGGGAGGUGGCCCGCGGAUUGGGCAGCUCCAGACCCGGAACGAGGGAGCGGGCGAAGCAGGGAAACGACCCAGGGACAGGUACCGUGUUCGCCACCAAGAGGGGCUUCCUGAGGUCGGAGUACUGCUGUGGCCUCUCGCCCCUACACUGCUCUCUGAAUGGGACCCUGGUUCUGGAGCACACAGACCACGAUCUGUAGGUUCGUUCUAUUUCGGCAGAAGAAAAAGGCCAGAAAGCGUUCCAGUCCGAUUAGAGAAAGAGAUUUCAAGAGAUUUCGUCAGAAAUUUGUCCUUGCGAAGUUGGAAUUCCCCCACCUCCUCCACGCUGGCUUGCAUUAAUUAGGCGACUGAGACGUGUGCAGAGGGGACCCUGUUGCUCAUUCGUUCUCUAGGACCCAAAUCUGUAGUUAAUAGUAAGUGGACUUGCACCUUCAGUGGGUUCCGUUGGUGCCAGGUACCAAACUUGUUUUGAACGAUGUGCGCCAGUUACAGGCUGUGGGGAAUAAAAGCAUUAAAAUGAGACAUAGUUCAUUUACUCCUAAGUAAACAGGACCUUGGGGGCUUCCUGGUGUGGAGAAAAAGUGAAUCGUACCACUCCUUGGAAAACUACAUUUGACAAAAAAUGAUACCCUAAGUAUUUACUAUUAAAAUGAAAUUAAAACUAG